UUGGGUGUCUGCUUAGCCCACAGGGCUGGAUGCUUUGGGGGUACAGGGGUCCGCUGGUGCGUGGUUCUUGCCCGGAGCGCCGAGUUGAUAUCGGCUAAAUGUAACGAUUUCCAAAGGAGUUGUGACUCUUCGCAGCACCUUGCAUCUUGUAAAGAUUUACUUCAUUCGUACUGACUGAAGAAGAGGACAAAUAGCAAAAAUCAGGAAAGGUUUUCUGAAAAAGAGAAUCGUGACCUCAUUGAAGGCCUUGGACUUAGCCCUGGUGGGGAGAACUUUAGUAUUUCUGGCUGUAUCUGUGGUAGGAGGUAACAAGACCAAAAGCUCAAAAGGUGUGAAUUGUGUCGUGUGAAAAGGAGACCAGCCCGAACGGAACAGAACUGUAAUGAAUAAUAGUUGGAAAUAGGUAGAUCAGUGGGGCCGUUUCACGGAUGUCUUGCAAACUUGAUGAGAAAUGAAAGAUUAUGUAAGAGACAUUCGGGAGUCAUUUUGGAUUCUUCACUAAGGGAGUGAGAUGAAGAAAUGGGUGUUUAGAGGAUUAGUUUGGCAGCCUUGGUUUCGGACGGAUUUGCAGUGGUCCUUUGGUAAGAAAAGAAUUGUACCAUUUUAGAAUUCAAAAGAAACUUAUAGGUUAUCUUUCGAUUUAUAAUUGAAACCCAGCGAGGUGAGAUAAUUUGCCCAAGGUCACUUGAGGGGUUCACCUGCUGCCACCCAUUUUCUCUGAGCAUUAGGUGGACGUUCCUCAUGGUUAAGUGCACGGCUUCUUGUUUGUUCUGGCUCUGUUGAAUAAAACAGCUUCUGUGAUGACCUACUCGAGACGCAUUUAUGCUUUAAUGAGACUCAGUGUGGACAAGAGGAACUGCAGCUUCUGAAGGACAGGUCCCAGGCAGGACAAAGGUUACUUUCUGGAGACAACUUUAGACUCUUAAUGGAGAAGGCCGUGACUUAAAUCUACAAGAGAAGCCUUACCCUUGUUUAUGCUGUGCUUUUAACCUUCCAUACCUAGCCUCUCCCCUCCACACAUGCCUUUCUUCUUUUGGCUUCAGCUGAAGAUGAUAUUUAAGCCAGAGUUCUAAGCCACCUCUGAGAGUUGGAUUUUCCCUGGGUAUCUCCCCAUGUAUACAUGAGGUAUACGUGUUAAUAAACGGUGUGUUUGUUUUUCUGUUA